CCUACGGGGGGCAGCAGUGGGGAAUAUUGGACAAUGGGGGGAACCCUGAUCCAGCCAUGCCGCGUGUGUGAAGAAGGCCCUCGGGUUGUAAAGCACUUUCAGUGAGGAAGAACGCCUGGUGGUUAAUACCCAUCAGGAAAGACAUCACUCACAGAAGAAGCACCGGCUAACUCCGUGCCAGCAGCCGCGGUAAUACGGAGGGUGCGAGCGUUAAUCGGAAUUACUGGGCGUAAAGCGCGCGUAGGUGGCUUGAUAAGCCGGUUGUGAAAGCCCCGGGCUCAACCUGGGAACGGCAUCCGGAACUGUCAAGCUAGAGUGCAGGAGAGGAAGGUAGAAUUCCCGGUGUAGCGGUGAAAUGCGUAGAGAUCGGGAGGAAUACCAGUGGCGAAGGCGGCCUUCUGGACUGACACUGACACUGAGGUGCGAAAGCGUGGGUAGCAAACAGGAUUAGAUACCCCUGUAGUC
rnacentral:rRNA from 1 species